rnacentral:rRNA from 1 species
AGUGAACGCUGGCGGCAGGCCUAACACAUGCAAGUCGAGCGGCAGCGGGUCCCCGCGAGGGGAUGCCGGCGAGCGGCGGACGGGUGAGGAACACAUCGGAAUCUGCCUGGUUGUGGGGGAUAACGUAGGGAAACUUACGCUAAUACCGCAUGCGACCCUGAGUCGACGGACUGGGGGUGAAAGUGAGGGACCUUCGGGCCUCACGCGACCAGAUGAGCCGAUGUCGGAUUAGCUAGUUGGCGGGGUAACGGCCCGCCAAGGCGACGAUCCGUAGCUGGUCUGAGAGGAUGAUCAGCCACACUGGGACUGAGACACGGGCCCAGACUCCUACGGGAGGCAGCAGUGGGGAAUCUUGGACAAUGGGCGCAAGCCUGAUCCAGCCAUG